rnacentral:rRNA from 1 species
AACGAACGCUGGCGGCAUGCCUAACACAUGCAAGUCGAACGAAGGCUUCGGCCUUAGUGGCGCACGGGUGCGUAACGCGUGGGAAUCUGCCCUUGGGUUCGGAACAACAGUUAGAAAUGACUGCUAAUACCGGAUGAUGUCUUCGGACUAAAGACUUAUCGCCCAGGGAUGAGCCCGCGUAGGAUUAGGUAGUUGGUGAGGUAAAGGCUCACCAAGCCGACGAUCCUUAGCUGGUCUGAGAGGAUGAUCAGCCACACUGGGACUGAGACACGGCCCAGACUCCUACGGGAGGCAGCAGUGGGGAAUAUUGGACAAUGGGCGAAAGCCUGAUCCAGCAAUGCCGCGUGAGUGAUGAAGGCCUUAGGGUUGUAAAGCUCUUUUACCAGGGAUGAUAAUGACAGUACCUGGAGAAUAAGCUCCGGCUAACUCCGUGCCAGCCGCCGCGGUAACAC